rnacentral:lncRNA from 1 species
CCGUACGGAGGCGCGCCUCGAGGCGGAACGGAGCAAAAACGCGUAUGAGGCGGCGCCUCAGGGACAGAAAUAAUACGUACGCCUCAGUGGAGUGAGGUGGUGUAAUGUUAGGGCGCAAGUUUCGGUUCGAGGCGGAACGUAUUUGGGCGAGGCGUACGUUUGUUUUUAGGCACAAAAAAUCGAACUGGAGUUGAGUAUAAAACUGCCCCACGCGGGCCCGGGUUUUUCG